CCUACGGGAGGCAGCAGUGGGGAAUUUUGGACAAUGGGCGAAAGCCUGAUCCAGCAAUGCCGCGUGUGUGAAGAAGGCCUUCGGGUUGUAAAGCACUUUUGUCCGGAAAGAAAUCCUUGGCUCUAAUACAGUCGGGGGAUGACGGUACCGGAAGAAUAAGCACCGGCUAACUACGUGCCAGCAGCCGCGGUAAUACGUAGGGUGCGAGCGUUAAUCGGAAUUACUGGGCGUAAAGCGUGCGCAGGCGGUUUGCUGAGACCGAUGUGAAAUCCCCGGGCUCAACCUGGGAACUGCAUUGGUGACUGGCAGGCUAGAGUAUGGCAGAGGGGGGUAGAAUUCCACGUGUAGCAGUGAAAUGCGUAGAGAUGUGGAGGAAUACCGAUGGCGAAGGCAGCCCCCUGGGCCAAUACUGACGCUCAUGCACGAAAGCGUGGGGAGCAAACAGGAUUAGAUACCCUGGUAGUCCACGCCCUAAACGAUGUCAACUAGUUGUUGGGGAUUCAUUUCCUUAGUAACGUAGCUAACGCGUGAAGUUGACCGCCUGGGGAGUACGGUCGCAAGAUUAAAACUCAAAGGAAUUGACGGGGACCCGCACAAGCGGUGGAUGAUGUGGAUUAAUUCGAUGCAACGCGAAAAACCUUACCUACCCUUGACAUGGUCGGAAUCCCGCUGAGAGGUGGGAGUGCUCGAAAGAGAACCGGCGCACAGGUGCUGCAUGGCUGUCGUCAGCUCGUGUCGUGAGAUGUUGGGUUAAGUCCCGCAACGAGCGCAACCCUUGUCCUUAGUUGCUACGCAAGAGCACUCUAAGGAGACUGCCGGUGACAAACCGGAGGAAGGUGGAGAUGAC
rnacentral:rRNA from 1 species